rnacentral:rRNA from 1 species
CCUACGGGAGGCUGCAGUGGGGAAUAUUGGACAAUGGGGGGAACCCUGAUCCAGCCAUGCCGCGUGUGUGAAGAAGGCCCUCGGGUUGUAAAGCACUUUCAGUGAGGAAGAACGCCUGGUGGUUAAUACCCAUCAGGAAAGACAUCACUCACAGAAGAAGCACCGGCUAACUCCGUGCCAGCAGCCGCGGUAAUACGGAGGGUGCGAGCGUUAAUCGGAAUUACUGGGCGUAAAGCGCGCGUAGGUGGCUUGAUAAGCCGGUUGUGAAAGCCCCGGGCUCAACCUGGGAACGGCAUCCGGAACUGUCAAGCUAGAGUGCAGGAGAGGAAGGUAGAAUUCCCGGUGUAGCGGUGAAAUGCGUAGAGAUCGGGAGGAAUACCAGUGGCGAAGGCGGCCAUCUGGACUGACACUGACACUGAGGUGCGAAAGCGUGGGUAGCAAACAGGAUUAGAUACCCGAGUAGUC